UGACUUGUGAUGUACACAGGAAAUUAACCCCCACCACAGGAAUCCCACACAAGGAGAUCGCCAUGGGAGGGAGGGGAAAGGUGAAGCCGAUCGAUGUCUUGUCGCACUUAGGAGGAGGAGGCGAAGAAGACGUUGUCGAUGAUGGUGGUGUGGAGUGGGUCGCUCAGGUGGGUGGCCCAGUUGUUGAGGGGGCCCUUGCCGGUGGCGGCGGCCUGGACGGCGAAGCCCAGGAAGGCGACCAUGGCGAGGCGGGCGUGCUUGAUCUCCGCCAACUGCAGGGUGGCCUUCUUCUCAGGGUCGGACGCCAGGCCGAGGGGGUCGAAGUACUUGCCUCCGGGGUACAGGCGCUUCUCCGGGUCGAGCUCCGCGUUCCUCUGGAACUCGAUGUAGCCGAUCACCAGCACCUCGAUCCAUAUCAGCGUGGUGAUGUUGAAGGGGAGGGGUUGGCCCAGGUAGGAGGA
rnacentral:lncRNA from 1 species